UCCUUUUGAAAUAGUUGGGGGUAAGGUAGUUUAAAUUAUCCACUUUAGAAUCUGUAAGGAUGAAUAAAUCGCUUUGCUGGUCAUGCUUCUCCUCCAUACUCUUGACAUAUGCAGUUAACAAACUAGUUUAGGCAGAUGAUCCUAAUUGUUUCUUUUCCAUAAAAUCUCUCAAGCAGAUCACAACGUUGGCGGCAGUAUUGAUCCUGAAAGUACAGUAUGAGGUACUCUGAAUCUCCUAACAUUGUGGUUCUUUCUUGGCUGGCAGCAGUAGAUAAAAUCCUAACUUUUGACCAUCCAAGAAAUGGAAGAAACCAUUUGAUCUGCACGUAUUUUCACGUGUAGAAUGGUGAAGAGAAUCAAUCUUCCUUUGCAAUGUAAGCAAUAUAGAAGAGUUGGGAGUACUUCACUAACCUUUACAGCCGUAAGCAGGACACGCUGAAAAAAGUUCUUCAUGGUUUUAAUCUGUUGUGAACAGGCAUGUUUGGAACAAGGGGGAAAUGCUGAUGGAAAAUGAAAAGGAAUGACAUGGGGAGUUACUGAAGUCGGUAUUGGGAUGCAGUAAAGAAUGAUAUGGGGGAAAUGUGACUGGUAGGGAUAAAAGAAUCCAUGGAAGCUGAAACUAGAACCUUUUUGACAUAUUUUCAUUUAGCAAAGAAUUUUCAAGCAAGUUAAAUAAUAGAAGGAGAGUCUUGGUGGACAUUAUAACAUGGGCUAAUAAAAUGUAGAAGGAACUGUGGUGGGUAGCUUUCGUAUUCAAUGACAUCUGCAACCUCAUCAUUCACGAUGCCAGUUUUGUGCUUAUCCAGAGAGAAGGAGGAGAUGGACAGAAAUCGCAAGGCGUCUUCAGGUUCGAAGUCAGAUUGGUCUGGGAGGCGGAUGAAAGAAGUUGCCUGCCCCAUUUGCACAGUCCAUUUGCAGUUCAAGUCCCAACAUAUGGCUCCGAAACGAUAGAGUGUGGUGUAUGUCAGCAUCCCUUCCUUGUUAGUGCCCACUGAAUUACUGCUAGAAGAUCUAAAUAUUGUAGCCCACCUGAUGUAAAGCUUAGAUCUUAGGUCUUGAAAACAGGCUAUUUCAAUUCUUAGGUGGGCCACAAGGUACAAAUUAAACUGAAGGGUACAUCAAAUUUCCUGUGGCUGUCUUUUUUUUUUUUUUUGUAUUGGUGCCCACCGGAUGUAAAUCACCUUAUUUUCAGGCUAGAUCUAAAUACUGAUGCAAAGUUUCUCGCGCACGUGUCUGCUUGUGGAUGUAUACAUAACCCACGGGAGUAGCAUUAUUCACUCUGUUCACCGGUGCAUGGACAGCUACUUGGGGUCCACCAGGUAUGAGUUUAUUCACGCUGUCCACCUACAUGUGGACAGGGCCAUGGGCCAACUAGAUGUAUAUAUUUUAUCCUCCCUGUCCAACUGGUGGAUUGAGCAGUGGGCCCUCCUGGUGUAUGUGUUGUCCAACAGCAUAGCCCCCCACACUGGGGGGCUCACCUGAUGCAUGGUUCUACCCACACUGCCAUUCCGUGGACGCAUCCAUGAUGCGUAUAUGUUAUCCACGCUGCCACCCGGAGGCUAGGGCCCCACUGUGAUGUAUGUGUCUUAUAAGCACCAUUCUUUUUUCUUUUUUCUUUUUUACAGAUCAUUCCUUGGCAUGGGCCUAGAAAUCAGGUAGAUGGAAGGCUUAGGUGGGCCGCACCACUAUAAACAGUGGUGACAGCCACCACCGUUGAAACCCACCAUGAGCUCACCGAUAAUUCAUCUGUUUCGUAACCACGACAUCCAUUCAGGGCCUGAGCCCAAAAACGAGCAGGUCCAAAUUUCAAGUGGACUGCACCGCAGAAAACAGUGGGGAUGAACUCCCACCGUUGAAACUGCUGUGGGGUCACUAUAGUGGUUUUAGUGACCAUCAAAACUGUCCAUGAGGACACCUGGACGGGACGUGGGGCAGGGCCCAGAGGCGUGGCAAAUCCAAACCUUGAGCGGACCCCACUGCAGACUGCCUUCCACCGUUAAAAUGUCUGUGGGGUCCACCAUGGUGGUUAUUUUUUACACCAAUCUGUUUACAAGGUCACAUAAGACCUGGAUGUAGUGAAAACACAAAUAUCACCGGCUCAAGUGGACCCCAUCAGCAGGAGGCAGCGGUUAUUGAACUCUUACCAUUGCAGCCUCCCUAUGGGGCCCAUUGUGACGUGAUCUGCCAUCUAACCUGUGGUGAGGCCACGUGGGCCUGACCCCAAAGAUGAGUCAGAUCUGAAACUCAAGUGGAACCCACACAGCAAACAGCGGUGGUUGAAUACCCAUCAUUAAAACUGUCCCUGGGGACCGCCUUAAUGUUUUUUCCUGCCAUCUAACCUGU